CUGAGGCUUUAUUUCAAGAGCCACUUGAGCCUGCCACCUUGGUAGCACAUGUUCCAGCCGCAGUAAAACCUUUCAAUAACAACGGCUCUGGACAACAUCCCGAAUACAGCUUCUUGAGAGGCCAAGAGAAAGUGAAAGCCAACUCUCAAAACAAAUGGACAGAAAGGAUAUGCACGAUUCUUGCACAGAGGAAUGGGACACUGAGGCCUUUCUUUCCAGGAAGCGUUUUUAUUUGUGCUAGCACAGGAUCAGAGGGAUGAGCCCCAAAAAGCUGAGCCCCAGGUGCAGAUGAAUGUAACCUUUCACGCAAGUACAUAGUAGAACCUUCUACUUCUUUGUCUCCCAUAUAUGGUGACACAUAUAGUCUGAUUGGACACAGUCAGAAUCCUGUCAGAGCUAUGCAUGCAUGUAUAGGAGUUGAUUUGGCCACGUUGCCUUCCUUUGUUCUGAGAAAGCCUC